rnacentral:rRNA from 1 species
CAGCCGCCGCGGUAACACGGAGGGUGCAAGCGUUAAUCGGAAUUACUGGGCGUAAAGCGCACGCAGGCGGUCUGACAAGUCAGAUGUGAAAUCCCCGGGCUUAACCUGGGAACUGCAUUUGAAACUGUCAGGCUGGAGUCUUGUAGAGGGGGGUGGAAUUCCAGGUGUAGCGGUGAAAUGCGUAGAGAUCUGGAGGAAUACCGGUGGCGAAGGCGGCCCCCUGGACAAAGACUGACGCUCAGGUGCGAAAGCGUGGGGAGCAAACAGGAUUAGAUACCCGCGUAGUCCCUGUCUCUUAUAC